GAUUACAGCGCUUAAAGGCAUAUAAGGAUGAUGAACAAGUGGAAAGGAUCUUAUGUCUUCACAUCCACAGGGAGUUCCGUGCCUCUGUCCUUUUGGCAUUAGUCAUCUGAGAUUUCACUGGCCUCUGCAGGAAUUAUGGUCACAUUCUUCCGCACAGCUUCUGCACCCUUCCAUCAUGCUCCAAAGGCGAUGUCUCAGCCCCAUCAAGGACAACAACAUACACCUGGAAGUGGAGAACUGCUCACAGAAAACACCAACAGCCCAGGUGAUUCUGUGUCUGAAUUAAACAGCCAGUAGGGCUUUCCUACUGCUAGGACUGAAUCCCAGCGCAGAGCCGAAGCCACAGGCAAGAGGAUGACAAACAAGAGGCACACCAGGAGAUCUUCAUUAGCACUGGGAGGCAAUCAGGACAUCCACAUGAUAAGUGCCAUAAAAAGCUGCCCGUGCAAUGUGUCCAUCACUCAGCCAGCCAAGCCUGAGCCGAGUCCUCCCCUCUUGCCUCCUGUCACACAAGCAAGACAGCCCGAAUUUAAAAGCCAAGGAACUGUCUGCCAUUUUCUCUGGUAUUUUAGC